rnacentral:misc_RNA from 1 species
AACGCACAUUGCGGCCAUAGGUAUUCCUUUGGCCAUGCCUGUUCGAGCGUCAUUUACACCCUCAAGCCUAGCUUGGUGUUGGGCGUCUUGUCCCGCCGUUUCUCGCGCGCGGACUCGCCUCAAAGUCAUUGGCGGCGGUCGUGCCGGCCCCUCGCGCAGCACAUUUGCGCUUCUCGGAGGCCUGGCGGAUCCGCGCUCCAGCAAGACCUUUUUUCAUGACUUGACCUCGGAUCAGGUAGGGAUACCCGCUGAACUUAA